rfam:Ignavibacteria bacterium RBG_16_36_9 RBG_16_scaffold_142318, whole genome shotgun sequence.
CCUUCUGUUCCAUCAGUUGAGCCUACCGGCACAUGCGUAGGGAGUGAUCCCCGGGUGUGAAGCUGCCGGGACAAUGUUACCUCUUCGAUAACAACAAUUGAAAGGUGCU